AUGAACGCUGGCGGCGUGCCUAAUACAUGCAAGUCGAGCGAACAGACGAGGAGCUUGCUCCUCUGACGUUAGCGGCGGACGGGUGAGUAACACGUGGAUAACCUACCUAUAAGACUGGGAUAACUUCGGGAAACCGGAGCUAAUACCGGAUAAUAUAUUGAACCGCAUGGUUCAAUAGUGAAAGACGGUUUUGCUGUCACUUAUAGAUGGAUCCGCGCCGCAUUAGCUAGUUGGUAAGGUAACGGCUUACCAAGGCAACGAUGCGUAGCCGACCUGAGAGGGUGAUCGGCCACACUGGAACUGAGACACGGUCCAGACUCCUACGGGAGGCAGCAGUAGGGAAUCUUCCGCAAUGGGCGAAAGCUUGACGGAGCAACGCCGCGUGUGUGAUGAAGGUCUUCGGAUCGUAAAACUCUGUUAUUAGGGAAGAACAAAUGUGUAAGUAACUAUGCACGUCUUGACGGUACCUAAUCAGAAAGCCACGGCUAACUACGUG
rnacentral:rRNA from 1 species